rnacentral:sRNA from 2 species
CAGUGGAUGAAGGCAUCUGGGCUGUUCAAAAGAUCCUUGUCUACGGGUUCGAUGAUAUCCUGUUGCUCUGAAAAGCAUUUCAGGCGGCCGCACUGUCAAUGGUGCUGGGGAGACGUUACUCGCUCUUGUCGGGUAUGCGGUGUUCAAACUCGCUAUGGAUAUACAAGGCUGUGCAAUGAGUAACAACAUGAGUACUAACUAGAAGGCAGAUCAAGUCAUACAAGCUCUAUAUCAAAGCGG